GGUUAAGCGACUAAGCGUACACGGUGGAUGCCCUGGCAGUCAGAGGCGAUGAAGGGCGUGCUAAUCUGCGAUAAGCGCCGGUAAGGUGAUAUGAA
rnacentral:rRNA from 7 species